UACGUAGGGUGCAAGCGUUGUCCGGAAUUAUUGGGCGUAAAGAGCUCGUAGGCGGUCUGUUGCGUCGGCUGUGAAAACCCGGGGCUCAACUCCGGGCCUGCAGCCGAUACGGGCAGACUAGAGUUCGGCAGGGGAGACUGGAAUUCCUGGUGUAGCGGUGAAAUGCGCAGAUAUCAGGAGGAACACCGAUGGCGAAGGCAGGUCUCUGGGCAUUAACUGACGCUGAGGAGCGAAAGCGUGGGGAGCAAACAGG
rnacentral:rRNA from 1 species